AAGGCUUCCAUCAGCCCCAUACCAAGAUCAGUGUUUACAGAGCCAUAGUGCUGUCUGCUCUCUCGUAUGGAUCUGAAUCCUGGGUCAUCUACAGCCACCACCUGCGACUCCUCGAACGCUUCCAUCAACGCUGCCUCCGUACAAUCCUAAACAUCCACUGCUCAG